rnacentral:rRNA from 1 species
GACGAACGCUGGCGGCGUGCCUAAUACAUGCAAGUAGAACGCACAGUUUAUACCGUAGCUUGCUACACCAUAGACUGUGAGUUGCGAACGGGUGAGUAACGCGUAGGUAACCUGCCUGGUAGCGGGGGAUAACUAUUGGAAACGAUAGCUAAUACCGCAUAAUAUUGAUUAUUGCAUGAUAAUUGAUUGAAAGAUGCUAUUGCAUCACUACCAGAUGGACCUGCGUUGUAUUAGCUAGUAGGUGAGGUAACGGCUCACCUAGGCGACGAUACAUAGCCGACCUGAGAGGGUGAUCGGCCACACUGGGACUGAGACACGGCCCAGACUCCUACGGGAGGCAGCAGUAGGGAAUCGUCGGCAAUGGACGAAAGUCUGACCGAGCAACGCCGCGGGAGUGAAGAAGGUUUUCGGAUCGUAAAGCUCUGUUGUAAGAGAAGAACGGGUGUGAGAGUGGAAAGUUCACACCGUGACGGUAUCUUACCAGAAAGGGACGGCUAACUACGUG